rnacentral:tRNA from 1 species
GUGGUGGCUCAGUGGUAGAGCGCUCGCCCAGCACCUGUGAGGCACUGAGUUUGAUCCUCAGCACCACA